ACGGGAGGCAGCAGUGGGGAAUAUUGGGCAAUGGGCGAAAGCCUGACCCAGCGACGCCGCGUGAGGGAAGAAGGUCUUCGGAUUGUAAACCUUAGUCAACAGGGAAGAAGCAAGUGACGGUACCUGUGGAGGAAGCCACGGCUAACUACGUGCCAGCAGCCGCGGUAAUACGUAGGUGGCGAGCGUUAUCCGGAAUUACUGGGUGUAAAGGGUGUGUAGGCGGGUCUGCAAGUCAGAUGUGAAAACUAUCGGCUCAACUGAUAGCUUGCAUUUGAAACUGUGGGUCUUGAGUGUGGGAGAGGUAAGCGGAAUUCCUAGUGUAGCGGUGAAAUGCGUAGAUAUUAGGAAGAACACCGGUGGCGAAGGCGACUUGCUGGACUGAGACUGACGCUGAGGCUCGAAAGCGUGGGGAGCAAACAGGAUUAGAUACCCUGGUA
rnacentral:rRNA from 1 species